rnacentral:rRNA from 1 species
GGGUUGUGAGGUUAAGCGACUAAGCGUACACGGUGGAUGCCCUGGCAGUCAGAGGCGAUGAAGGACGUGCUAAUCUGCGAUAAGCGUCGGUAAGGUGAUAUGAACCGUUAUAACCGGCGAUUUCCGAAUGGGGAAACCCAGUGUGAUUCGUCACACUAUCAUUAACUGAAUCCAUAGGUUAAUGAGGCGAACCGGGGGAACUGAAACAUCUAAGUACCCCGAGGAAAAGAAAUCAACCGAGAUUCCCCCAGUAGCGGCGAGCGAACGGGGAGCAGCCCAGAGCCUGAAUCAGUGUGUGUGUUAGUGGAAGCGUCUGGAAAGGCGCGCGAUACAGGGUGACAGCCCCGUACACAAAAAUGCACAUGCUGUGAGCUCGAUGAGUAGGGCGGGACACGUGGUAUCCUGUCUGAAUAUGGGGGGACCAUCCUCCAAGGCUAAAUACUCCUGACUGACCGAUAGUGAACCAGUACCGUGAGGGAAAGGCGAAAAGAACCCCGGCGAGGGGAGUGAAAAAGAACCUGAAACCGUGUACGUACAAGCAGUGGGAGCCUCUUUAUGGGGUGACUGCGUACCUUUUGUAUAAUGGGUCAGCGACUUAUAUUCUGUAGCAAGGUUAACCGAAUAGGGGAGCCGAAGGGAAACCGAGUCUUAACUGGGCGUUAAGUUGCAGGGUAUAGACCCGAAACCCGGUGAUCUAGCCAUGGGCAGGUUGAAGGUUGGGUAACACUAACUGGAGGACCGAACCGACUAAUGUUGAAAAAUUAGCGGAUGACUUGUGGCUGGGGGUGAAAGGCCAAUCAAACCGGGAGAUAGCUGGUUCUCCCCGAAAGCUAUUUAGGUAGCGCCUCGUGAAUUCAUCUCCGGGGGUAGAGCACUGUUUCGGCAAGGGGGUCAUCCCGACUUACCAACCCGAUGCAAACUGCGAAUACCGGAGAAUGUUAUCACGGGAGACACACGGCGGGUGCUAACGUCCGUCGUGAAGAGGGAAACAACCCAGACCGCCAGCUAAGGUCCCAAAGUCAUGGUUAAGUGGGAAACGAUGUGGGAAGGCCCAGACAGCCAGGAUGUUGGCUUAGAAGCAGCCAUCAUUUAAAGAAAGCGUAAUAGCUCACUGGUCGAGUCGGCCUGCGCGGAAGAUGUAACGGGGCUAAACCAUGCACCGAAGCUGCGGCAGCGACACUGUGUGUUGUUGGGUAGGGGAGCGUUCUGUAAGCCUGUGAAGGUGUACUGUGAGGUAUGCUGGAGGUAUCAGAAGUGCGAAUGCUGACAUAAGUAACGAUAAAGCGGGUGAAAAGCCCGCUCGCCGGAAGACCAAGGGUUCCUGUCCAACGUUAAUCGGGGCAGGGUGAGUCGACCCCUAAGGCGAGGCCGAAAGGCGUAGUCGAUGGGAAACAGGUUAAUAUUCCUGUACUUGGUGUUACUGCGAAGGGGGGACGGAGAAGGCUAUGUUGGCCGGGCGACGGUUGUCCCGGUUUAAGCGUGUAGGCUGGUUUUCCAGGCAAAUCCGGAAAAUCAAGGCUGAGGCGUGAUGACGAGGCACUACGGUGCUGAAGCAACAAAUGCCCUGCUUCCAGGAAAAGCCUCUAAGCAUCAGGUAACAUCAAAUCGUACCCCAAACCGACACAGGUGGUCAGGUAGAGAAUACCAAGGCGCUUGAGAGAACUCGGGUGAAGGAACUAGGCAAAAUGGUGCCGUAACUUCGGGAGAAGGCACGCUGAUACGUAGGUGAAGUCCCUUGCGGAUGGAGCUGAAAUCAGUCGAAGAUACCAGCUGGCUGCAACUGUUUAUUAAAAACACAGCACUGUGCAAACACGAAAGUGGACGUAUACGGUGUGACGCCUGCCCGGUGCCGGAAGGUUAAUUGAUGGGGUCAGCGCAAGCGAAGCUCUUGAUCGAAGCCCCGGUAAACGGCGGCCGUAACUAUAACGGUCCUAAGGUAGCGAAAUUCCUUGUCGGGUAAGUUCCGACCUGCACGAAUGGCGUAAUGAUGGCCAGGCUGUCUCCACCCGAGACUCAGUGAAAUUGAACUCGCUGUGAAGAUGCAGUGUACCCGCGGCAAGACGGAAAGACCCCGUGAACCUUUACUAUAGCUUGACACUGAACAUUGAGCCUUGAUGUGUAGGAUAGGUGGGAGGCUUUGAAGUGUGGACGCCAGUCUGCAUGGAGCCGACCUUGAAAUACCACCCUUUAAUGUUUGAUGUUCUAACGUGGACCCGUAAUCCGGGUUGCGGACAGUGUCUGGUGGGUAGUUUGACUGGGGCGGUCUCCUCCUAAAGAGUAACGGAGGAGCACGAAGGUUGGCUAAUCCUGGUCGGACAUCAGGAGGUUAGUGCAAUGGCAUAAGCCAGCUUGACUGCGAGCGUGACGGCGCGAGCAGGUGCGAAAGCAGGUCAUAGUGAUCCGGUGGUUCUGAAUGGAAGGGCCAUCGCUCAACGGAUAAAAGGUACUCCGGGGAUAACAGGCUGAUACCGCCCAAGAGUUCAUAUCGACGGCGGUGUUUGGCACCUCGAUGUCGGCUCAUCACAUCCUGGGGCUGAAGUAGGUCCCAAGGGUAUGGCUGUUCGCCAUUUAAAGUGGUACGCGAGCUGGGUUUAGAACGUCGUGAGACAGUUCGGUCCCUAUCUGCCGUGGGCGCUGGAGAACUGAGGGGGGCUGCUCCUAGUACGAGAGGACCGGAGUGGACGCAUCACUGGUGUUCGGGUUGUCAUGCCAAUGGCACUGCCCGGUAGCUAAAUGCGGAAGAGAUAAGUGCUGAAAGCAUCUAAGCACGAAACUUGCCCCGAGAUGAGUUCUCCCUGACUCCUUGAGAGUCCUGAAGGAACGUUGAAGACGACGACGUUGAUAGGCCGGGUGUGUAAGCGCAGCGAUGCGUUGAGCUAACCGGUACUAAUGAACCGUGAGGCUUAACCUUACAACGCCGAAG